AUGGAUCAGAGCCGGCGGGCGGUCGAGUCCUACUGGCGGUCGCGGAUGGUGGACGGCGUCACGGCGGAGGACGACAAGGUCGCCCCCGUCUACAAGCUCGAGGAGAUCUGCGAGCUGCUGCGCGCCUCCGACGCCGGCAUCGUCAAGGAGGUCGCCGACUUCGUCCUCAAGCGCCUCGACAACAAGAGCCCCCUCGUCAAGCAGAAGGCUUUGCGGUUGAUUAAAUAUGCUGUUGGAAAAUCUGGCACUGAUUUCAAGCGGGAAAUGCAACGACACUCAGCGGCUAUGCGUCAGCUUGUUCACUACAAAGGACACCCUGACCCCUUAAAAGGGGAUGCCCUUAAUAAGGCUGUCCGCGAAACUGCAAACGAGGCCAUUGCUGCUAUUUUCUCCACUGAGGACCCUAAAGCAGUUGUUGUGACAGAAGGUCUAGGCAAGCGCAUACAGGGCUUUGGAAACACUAAUUAUGAGCCAUCAAGAGAUGACAAGAAGUCUUUCCUCAGUGAACUAAGUGAAGUAGUGGGCAUUGGUGGUGCUUCCAUUAAACAGGGUUUGAGCAACUUUGCUGCCACACAUUCAAUGAUGCCAAAUGAUAAUGGUGGUAUGUACAAGAACCCAAUUCGCAGGUCUCUGACCACAGAAACUGAUAGAUAUGGUAGGUACGAUCCAAGUGAAAUUCAAGGUGAGAGCCGUGCUACAUCUGGUGCUUCAAAGAAUGUGAGUUCUGGUUCUUGGGGUCCAAGUCCCUCAAGUUCAACAUCAGCCGGUGAUACUGAAUCAAGUCAACCUGGAAUUAAGACUCGUGAGGAGAGACUUUUGGAAACAAUUGUUACUGCAAGCGGUGUGCGGUUGCAACCCACUCGAGAUGCUCUGCAGAUAUUUCUAACAGAAGCCUCCAAACUGGAUGCAGUUGCUUUGAGCCGUGCCCUUGAGAGCAAACUGAACUCUCCAUUGUGGCAGGUUCGCAUGAAGGCUAUCUGUGUACUGGAAGCGGUUGUAAGGAAACAGGAUACUGAUCCUUAUUCCAUCGUUGCUUCAUAUUUCAGUGAGAACAGUGCUUCUGUUGUCAGAUGUUGUGAAUUGCCACAAGUUUCUCUCAGAGAAAAGGCUUCAAAAGUAUUAAAUCUGCUGGUUGGGGAACAACCUACCGGAAGCAAACAUCUUUCAGAAUCAAGACCCACUCCUGUUCAGAUGCCUGAUUUGAUUGAUACAGGGGAUCGGGAUGAUCUAGUAACUCAGCUUUCAGCUCAAGAAAGCAGCGAGCAGAUAAUGGGGAACAGUAAUUAUGUUUCUUCAGUUGAUGAUUUGCUUGGUGGUGAAACUAUUGGUAAUACCAGUGCCACUAGCAAUGGUAAUGGAAGUGAUCUGUUUGCAGAUGUAUCAUUCCAUGAGGAAGAGAUUAAGGAGACUAAUGACCUAUUCUCAGGCAUGACAGUAGAAGAAAAAUCCUCAGCCUCCAUGCAUGAUAACUCUCUGAUCGAGCAAGAUAUAUUUGGCAGCAGCCCGGAGCCAUUGUUCCAAGAAAGAGUUGAUGACAAAGGAACUGUCAAUGAUUUAAUGGCUGGUUUGAACCUUAAUGGCACUGCCCAAGCUCAGCCUGGAGUAAAAGCAGAAACUAACAGUAAUCUCAAUGGUUCACAGUUCUUUGACAUGAACAGUCAGACUAGCCAUGUGGCAAGUGGUGCAGCACUAAAUGGUAUCCUUGGUCAAAGCUCCUUCUAUCAACAGGUUCCUAUGCAGUACAACUUGUCACCACAAAUGUUUGGUCAAUCAUUUGCUGGGCAGCAAUUAAACUAUGGUGCUAUGGAAGCUCUUCUUGCUCAGCAGCAGCAGUUACUACAGAACUUGGGAAAUUUCAAUGCUGGACUUGGGCAUCCUGCUUUCAAUUCAAUGAGUGGCGGAAAUGCAUCUGGGAUGCCAGAUAUUUUCAAUUCAAGAUCACCUUGCAGCAGCUCGUGGUUCAAAGAAGUAGACCCUAAAAGGAACAACAUGUUCAGAAUUUUGACAAGAACAGAAAUGUCAGGCUUCAUGGGAUUGGCGUACAUAUCGUCGAGGAUUGACUGA
rnacentral:rRNA from 1 species